rnacentral:rRNA from 1 species
CGCGAAAACUCUACAAUGCAGGCAACUGCGAUAGGGGAACAUCGAGUGAUACUCAUCUUGGGUGUCUGUCCUCCCGUCUAAAAAACGGGAGUUAGCAAGGGCCGGGCAAGACCGGUGCCAGCCGCCGCGGUAAUACCGGCGGCUCGAGUGGUGGCCGAUAUUAUUGAGUCUAAAGGGUUCGUAGCCGGCUUUGCAAGUCUUUUGGGAAAUCCAGCGGCUUAACCGUUGGUCGUCCGGGAGAUACUACAUUGCUUGGGACUGGGAGAGGUAGGAGGUACUCAGGGGGUAGGAGUGAAAUCCUGUAAUCCUUUGGGGACCACCGGUGGCGAAGGCGUCCUACCAGAACAGGUCCGACGGUGAGGGACGAAAGCUAGGGGCACGAACCGGAUUAGAUACCCGGGUAGUCCUAGCCGUAAACGAUGCUCGCUAGGUGUCACAACAAUCGUGAAUUGUUGUGGUGCCGUAGGGAAGCCGUGAAGCGAGCCACUUGGGAAGUACGACCGCAAGGUUGGAACUUAAAGGAAUUGGCGGGGGAGCAC